rnacentral:rRNA from 1 species
CACGGUAAACGAUGGAUGCCCGCUGUUGGCGAUAUACAGCCAGUGGCCAAGCGAAAGCGUUAAGCAUCCCACCUGGGGAGUACGCCGGCAACGGUGAAACUCAAAGGAAUUGACGGGGGCCCGCACAAGCGGAGGAACAUGUGGUUUAAUUCGAUGAUACGCGAGGAACCUUACCCGGGCUUGAACUGCAGCAGAACGAUAGAGAGAUCUUGAGGCCCUUCGGGGCUGCUGUGGAGGCGCUGCAUGGUUGUCGUCAGCUCGUGCCGUGAGGUGUCGGCUUAAGUGCCAUAACGAGCGCAACCCCUUUCGCCAGUUGCCAUCAGGUGAUGCUGGGCACUCCGGCGACACUGCCACCGCAAGGUGUGAGGAAGGUGGGGAUGACGUCAGAUCAGCACGGCCCUUACGUCCGGGGCUACACACGUGUUACAAUGGGGAGUACAGAGAGUCAGGCGUUGGCAACACCGCCUUAAUCAAUAAAGCUCUCCUCAGUUCGGAUUGGGGUCUGCAACCCGACC